CCUACGGGAGGCUGCAGUGAGGAAUAUUGGUCAAUGGACGAGAGUCUGAACCAGCCAAGUAGCGUGAAGGAUGACUGCCCUAUGGGUUGUAAACUUCUUUUAUAUGGGAAUAAAAUGUUCCACGUGUGGGAUUUUGUAUGUACCAUAUGAAUAAGGAUCGGCUAACUCCGUGCCAGCAGCCGCGGUAAUACGGAGGAUCCGAGCGUUAUCCGGAUUUAUUGGGUUUAAAGGGAGCGUAGGUGGAUUGUUAAGUCAGUUGUGAAAGUUUGCGGCUCAACCGUAAAAUUGCAGUUGAAACUGGCAGUCUUGAGUACAGUAGAGGUGGGCGGAAUUCGUGGUGUAGCGGUGAAAUGCUUAGAUAUCACGAAGAACGCCGAUUGCGAAGGCAGUUCACUGGACUGCAACUGACACUGAGGCUCGAAAGUGUGGGUAUCAAACAGGAUUAGAUACCCGAGUAGUC
rnacentral:rRNA from 1 species